CACCUACUUGCUACGUUCAAUAAAGGAUGUCUCAAAUUUACUAUAAGUUGAAUGUAUCUAGACAUGACUUAGUGUAUAGAUGCAUUCAAAUUUAAUCAAAAUUGAGGCAUUUUUUGUUAGACGGAGGGAGUACUAG
rnacentral:pre_miRNA from 1 species